UGGGGAAUAUUGGGCAAUGGGCGCAAGCCUGACCCAGCAACGCCGCGUGAGGGAAGAAGGUUUUCGGAUUGUAAACCUCUGUCGCAGGGGACGAAAAAAAUGACGGUACCCUGCAAGAAAGCCCCGGCUAACUACGUGCCAGCAGCCGCGGUAAUACGUAGGGGGCAAGCGUUGUCCGGAAUUAUUGGGCGUAAAGGGAGCGUAGGCGGCUGCUUAAGUCAGAUGUGAAAUACCAGGGCUCAACCCUGGGGCUGCAUUUGAUACUGGGCAGCUAGAGUGUAGGAGAGGUAAGUGGAAUUCCUAGUGUAGCGGUGAAAUGCGUAGAUAUUAGGAGGAACACCAGUGGCGAAGGCGACUUACUGGACUAUAACUGACGCUGAGGCUCGAAAGCGUGGGGAGCAAACA
rnacentral:rRNA from 1 species